UACGUAGGUGUCAAGCGUUGUCCGGAUUUAUUGGGCGUAAAGCGCCCGCAGGCGGCUUGCCAAGUUCGAUGUGAAAUCUCCCGGCUCAACUGGGAGGGUGCAUCGAAAACUGGCAGGCUUGAGGCAGGGAGAGGGAUGUGGAAUUCCAGGUGUAGUGGUGAAAUGCGCAGAUAUCAGGAGGAACACCGGUGGCGAAGGCGGGUCUCUGGGCCGUAACUGACGCUGAGGAGCGAAAGCGUGGGGAGCGAACAGG
rnacentral:rRNA from 1 species